UACGAACCGUACAAACGUUAUUCGGAAUCACUGGGCUUAAAGGGCUCGUAGGCGGCCAACUAAGUCAGACGUGAAAUCCCUCGGCUUAACCGGGGAACUGCGUCUGAUACUGGAUGGCUUGAGUUUGGGAGAGGGAUGCGGAAUUCCAGGUGUAGCGGUGAAAUGCGUAGAUAUCAGGAAGAACACCGACGGCGAAGGCAGCUCGCUGGGACGGUACUGACGCUGAGGCGCGAAAGCGUGGGGAGCGAACAGG
rnacentral:rRNA from 1 species